AUCGCUUCUCGGCCUUUUGGCUAAGAUCAAGUGUAGUAUCUGUUCUUAUCAGCUUAUGUCUUAUAUUUUAUGACUGUUUUAAAUUCAC
rnacentral:snRNA from 1 species